UUUUUUUUUUUUUUUUUUUUCCUUUUUUUUUCCUUUUUUCUUUCUUUU
rnacentral:ribozyme from 1 species